CGUAAAAACCCUAUUUGUAAACAACCAGCCCUUUAACUCGGGGCUGCGUCAUAAACACGGCGCGCUUGGAAGACCACGAUGUCAUCUUCCUUCUGUCAGGAGGAUCCAAGUGAAGCUACAGGAGUUUCAUUAACGUCAACAACUUGGACCAAACAGUUUGUUUUGCUUGAUGAAGAGCAGGAAGGGCAGCCUGGAGAGAAAGAGAAGCCGGGUUGAGCCCACUACCAUCAUCCACGUACCACGAGGAAGAUGAGGGAGAGAAAUGAUCCUACCAUUAAAGAGACUGUGAAAAGAACGUUGAGAACAUCACCACUCUACAGGAAGACACAGUCCAGUAAUGGGUGUCAGAAGUUCAGUAGUGAACGACAGAAACAAACAAUCCAAAUUACCUGCAGAAAGCCCUUGAUGGACGCUUCAGCUGCAUCGUCAGACUGGCAGUACUGAUGCAUUUACUGAGACGGGACGUGAGGGCCUACUCUGCGUGCUCAGAGUUCAAGCCCAGCAGGCUGCAGCGGGCCUGACAUAUUCUGGAACAGCAGCACAGUCUUUGGAUGACUCCUCUGAAGAUGAAAACAUGGCGAGUUCUUCUCAAGAGAAGCAGUACAGGUGUGCCUCAGCUCCACGGUCCCUCCUGCAGCCUCCGCUCCUGAUGCUAACCUCAUGUCUCCAUCACACCAAGCAGCAGACCUGGAUUGACAGACCUUUCUCCAGAGCUGCCCCCUCCCUCUGAAACCCCCCUCUCCAAAACACUAUUUGUGUAGUUUUUAAAGUAUUUUUUGCAUGAGAAUUGUUGAUCAUAACAUUUCCAGCAGAUGCCUUAAUAUAAUGUUUGUGCACAAUAAAU